rnacentral:hammerhead_ribozyme from 1 species
AUCCAGCUGACGCGUCCCAAGUAGGACGAAACAGCCGUCCUGGAU